CCCUGGGAGUCAAGCUGCCUCUGGGACCCUGAGAUCCUGAUGUGACCAAGCUCCUAGCAUCCUGUUAUCCUGUGUUCCUGGGCAUGUUAGGGUGCCUGGGAUUGGAGCUUCUAGGUAAAGAAGCCUAGAGACAACUGGAGAGUAAUUCCCAGAACUUACUAAAGAAAGUGAUUCUGAAACAUCUUCAUCAGAGAAGCAUCCUGGAAAGGGUGUGAGAAGCUGUGCACAGACUCUCUCUUCAGUGGAAACCUAUCCCUGCAAACCUACUCUGAGCAUAACAGGAAUGUCAAAGCACAUUGGCAUGGGCCAAUAUCAUUAUAGGAGAGUGAACUCUAGAACACCCAUUGGCUUCCUGUUCCUCAACGUUGUUACUUUUAAACACCCAGCUUUUAACACAAUUUCACUGCAAUCCUAUCUGUUGCAUGGUUUGCUCAGUUCCUCUUCAGUACCUGAUGCAACCUAGUGUUUUCCACUGCUUUCUAGUUUGCAGAGUUCCCUAGAAGACAGAAAUGAAAGUGAUGAUUAA